CCGAGAACUUAACACAAUCACAAGUUCGCUAAUGACAUCACGACCAGAAGCGCCGACGCCGCAGUCCCAGCACUCACAGACGCCCCGCCUCAGCCUCCUGAACCACUGCCCUCGAACCCGGCCGACUCGACAGCCCCAGUGGAGGGAAGAAAGCUCUGAUGUGACUUCCUACAGCUAGAUAGUGACAGGGCUUGGACGGAAACAACGAUUUACCGACUUCAUCGGAUAAGAAGAGUACUUGGAAUUUUGCAAAGUGCUGCUGCAACAAGUAUGGUCUUUUGCCUCAUGGCGAAAGAGAAAAAGAGGGGACUAAAAAUACUGGAUAGGCACAACACUGGGAGCAGAAGCUGGGGUGCUGUGGGUACUCUGGGGAAGAAUUAUUAGCUGAACUGUACCAGGAUGCCCAUACUGGAAAACUGGGGAAGGGAACACUUGGAUUUACAUACAACAAAAUAUAAAGAAAAAAAAUUUAUUUUGUGGAAAAUAAAAGCAGAAACUGAGACCCCAGAUUCCAGAAAA